GAUGAAGAACGCAGCGAAAUGCGAUAAGUAAUGUGAAUUGCAGAAUUCAGUGAAUCAUCGAAUCUUUGAACGCACAUUGCGCCCGCCAGUAUUCUGGCGGGCAUGCCUGUCUGAGCGUCAUUUCAACCCUCAUGCCCCUAGGGCGUGGUGUUGGGGAUCGGCCAAAGCCCGCGAGGGACGGCCGGCCCCUAAAUCUAGUGGCGGACCCGUCGUGGCCUCCUCUGCGAAGUAGUGAUAUUCCGCAUCGGAGAGCGAUGAGCCCCUGCCGUUAAACCCCCAACUUUCCAAGGUUGACCUCAGAACAGGUAGGAAUACCCGCUGAACUUAAGCAUAUCAAUAAGCGGAGGA
rnacentral:misc_RNA from 1 species